rnacentral:rRNA from 1 species
UCUACGGGAGGCUGCAGUGGGGAAUAUUGGACAAUGGGGGCAACCCUGAUCCAGCCAUGCCGCGUGUGUGAAGAAGGCCCUCGGGUUGUAAAGCACUUUCAGUGAGGAAGAACGCCUGGUGGUUAAUACCCAUCAGGAAAGACAUCACUCACAGAAGAAGCACCGGCUAACUCCGUGCCAGCAGCCGCGGUAAUACGGAGGGUGCGAGCGUUAAUCGGAAUUACUGGGCGUAAAGCGCGCGUAGGUGGCUUGAUAAGCCGGUUGUGAAAGCCCCGGGCUCAACCUGGGAACGGCAUCCGGAACUGUCAAGCUAGAGUGCAGGAGAGGAAGGUAGAAUUCCCGGUGUAGCGGUGAAAUGCGUAGAGAUCGGGAGGAAUACCAGUGGCGAAGGCGGCCUUCUGGACUGACACUGACACUGAGGUGCGAAAGCGUGGGUAGCAAACAGGAUUAGAUACCCCUGUAGUC